GGGGGGGGGGGUUGGUUAAAUGGAGGAAAAGGCAAACGAGGACUCGUGGAGAGGAAGACCGCAUCCAGUCCAGAUUUCUUCUCACCAGACUGCCAAACGUGGACGCAGACAGAAGCUGCCGUGGUCUUUCCUCCUCAGCGUCGCUCAUGCUCUCACGAGGACAGCGGCCUUUUCCGGGACCUUUUUUUGUUUGUUUGUUUGUUUGUUUCUUCUGUGGCGUCCGGCUCCAUCAGCCGUGUUAAACAGCUCACCUGCCACAAACACUGAGACACACACACUGACUGUACAUGUUACAUACUGCACAAUGCCUCGCAAAGCCGGGGGAAGAGACUGCGGAUACGAGAAUAAAGGAAACCUCUGCUCAUUCAUUAAUAGGAAAAUUAAUGUGUAUUUUUAUUCAUAUGGCUUAGCGAUUAGCUGUUUGUAUUUGCCACCAUGUCAUUGUUUUACUUUUCAACGGACUUGCACAACCUGUCAUGAUUUUUGUAAAGCGGUUUGCUGUUUUUUGGAUCAUUUAUAAUCCAUGAUAUCAGUGUUUAUAAUGUGGAAAUUGACCUCGAGUAAGAGAACAUGAUUUAUCUCAGUCUCUCCCCUAAUUAUUAACAGUCUCCAGUUUGCCUUUGUCAGAUUCUUCAGAGCAGGGACAUCAAACAGGACAUGGGAACAACUGUUUCAGACGGGCCGUCGUGUAUAUAACCUUUUUAUAUAGCUGACAAAGGCAGACUGAUACUUGUUUUUGUGUAUAUCCCACAUGAACAUUGAAUGUGCAUAACUUCUCUGCUUCAUAUUAGAGCUGCAACGACUAGUCCAUUAAUUGAUUAGUUGUCAACUAUUAAAUUAACCACCAACUAUUUUGAUAAUCGAUUCAUCUGUUUGAGUAAUAUUUGAAGAAAAAAAAGUUUUAAUUAAGUUAAGCUAAGUAUUUUCUUGUUUCUUUUCUCCUACUAUGACGUUAAAGUGAAUAUAUUUGGGUUGUGGACAAAGCAAGAUGACAUUUGUCACCAUUUUUGUAGGCCAAACAACUAAUCGAUUAAUCCAGAAAAAUAAAUCGACAGAUUAGUCGACGAUAACCAUCGUUAGUUGCAGCCCUACUUCUUAUGGUCUUUGCUCUUAGGAUGGAUGCCGAUUUGUAAUUCUUGGAAAAAGGUAAAAUUGCCAUGUAAUUUGUAGCUACCUUGGUGACACAUUUUCUGUGGCUGUGCAUAUUGAUUGUACUUGAUGCAUAGCGCCUCGUUACUACUGUAUUAAAAAGCAGUAAAAUGCA